CCUACGGGGGGCAGCAGUGAGGAAUAUUGGUCAAUGGCCGAGAGGCUGAACCAGCCAAGUCGCGUGAGGGAAGACGGCCCUACGGGUUGUAAACCUCUUUUGUCGGGGAGCAAAGCGAACCACGUGUGGCUCAUUGAGAGUACCCGAAGAAAAAGCAUCGGCUAACUCCGUGCCAGCAGCCGCGGUAAUACGGAGGAUGCGAGCGUUAUCCGGAUUUAUUGGGUUUAAAGGGUGCGCAGGCGGAGGUGCAAGUCAGCGGUAAAAUUGCGGGGCUCAACCCCGUACUGCCGUUGAAACUGCAUCCCUUGAGUGCGCGAGAGGUAUGCGGAAUGCGUGGUGUAGCGGUGAAAUGCAUAGAUAUCACGCAGAACUCCGAUUGCGAAGGCAGCAUACCGGCGCGCAACUGACGCUCAUGCACGAAAGCGUGGGUAUCGAACAGGAUUAGAUACCCUAGUAGUC
rnacentral:rRNA from 1 species